rnacentral:rRNA from 1 species
GAUGAACGCUAGCUACAGGCUUAACACAUGCAAGUCGAGGGGCAGCAUGGUCUUAGCUUGCUAAGGCCGAUGGCGACCGGCGCACGGGUGAGUAACACGUAUCCAACCUGCCGUCUACUCUUGGACAGCCUUCUGAAAGGAAGAUUAAUACAAGAUGGCAUCAUGAGUCCGCAUGUUCACAUGAUUAAAGGUAUUCCGGUAGACGAUGGGGAUGCGUUCCAUUAGAUAGUAGGCGGGUAACGGCCCACCUAGUCUUCGAUGGAUAGGGGUUCUGAGAGGAAGGUCCCCCANAUUGGAACUGAGACACGGUCCAAAACUCCUACGGGAGCAGCAGUGAGGAAUAUUGGUCAAUGGACGAGAGUCUGAACCAGCCAAGUAGCGUGAAGGAUGAAGGUCCUACGGAUUGGUAAACUUCUUUUAUAAGGGAUAAACCCUCCACGUGUGGGAGCUUGUAUGUACCUUAUGAAUAAGCAUCGGCUAACUCCGUGCCAG